rnacentral:rRNA from 1 species
UACGUAGGUGGCAAGCGUUGUCCGGAUUUACUGGGCGUAAAGAGCGCGCAGGCGGCUGGUCAAGUCCGAUGUGAAAUCCCCCGGCUUAACCUGGGAACUGCGUCUGAUACUGGAAGGCUUGAGUAUGGGAGAGGGAUGUAGAAUUCCAGGUGUAGCGGUGAAAUGCGUAGAUAUCAGGAGGAACACCGGUGGCGAAGGCGGAUCUCUGGGCCUUACCUGACGCUCGAGGCGCGAAAGCCUAGGGGAGCGAACAGG